rnacentral:lncRNA from 1 species
CGCCUUUGCAGUGUAUUACGACCCCUUCCCGCCAAGACUCGGCGUGACUCAAUCUUACCGGCGCCUCUAUUCUUACCCUGCCAUUUUUAUCCGAUGCUAUGGCCCCGCUUCUCCGCCGUUUUUGAACGCUACGGCCGCCGCGUUUCAUUUCUUUCCACCCUUCCCCGGGUACUUUAUUCCACCCUUCUUGGGUAACUUAUUCCACCCUUCCCGGGUACUUUUCUAAUCAUUCAUU